CCAAAUUUUGGGGUUUUGUUCCACAGGGAGAACCCAAAUAGUGAGGAUUCUGCUGGUCCAGGAAGGGCAGGAGAAAAUCCUCACCAAAUUUUGGGGUUUCUGCCCCACAGCGAGAACCCAGCUGGGCCAGGGAGGGCAGGAGCAACUCCUGACCAAAUUUUGGGGUUUUGUUCCACAGGAAGAACCCAAAUUGUGAGGGUUGUGCUGCUCCAGGAAGGGCAGGAGCAAUUCCUGACCAAAUUUUGGGGUUUCUGUUCCAAAGGGAGAACCCAAUUACUGAGGGUUGUUCUGGUCCAGGAGUUCCUGACCAAAGUUCCUGCCCAAAUUUUGGGGUUUCUGCUCCACAGGAAGAACCCAAAUAGUGAGGGUUGUUCUGCUCCAGGAAGAGCAGGGGAAAAUCCUGACCAAAUGUUGGGGUUUCUGCCCCACAAGGAGGACCCAGCAACUCCUGACCAAAUUUUGAGGUUUCUGCUCCACAGGGGAAUGAGGAUUGUGCUGGUCCAGGAAGGGCAGGAGCAAUUCCUGACCAAAUUUUGGGGUUUCACGGGGGACCGAGGGUUGUGCUGCUCCAGGAAGGGCAGGGGAAAAUCCUGACCAAAUUUUGGGGUUUCUGCUCCAGGAGCAACUCCUGAGGGGGGAAAGGUGCAGAAAGUUAAAAAAUCCCCCUGGCAGCCCAGGCCAGAGGAGGAAGUGCUCAAAAUUAGAAAAAAAA
rnacentral:lncRNA from 1 species